ensembl:lncRNA
UAUUGUUCACAAAUCUGUCAAUAAUCGAUCCUUCUCACAGGUGUGGCAUAUCAAGAUGCUGAUUAGACAGCAUGAUUAUUGCACAGGUGUGCCUUAGGCUGGCCACAAUAAAAGGCCACUCUAAAAUGUGCAGUUUUAUCACACCACACAAUGCCACAGAUGUCGCAAGUUUUGAGGGAGCGUGCAAUUGGCAUGCUGACUGCAGGAAUGUCCACCAGAGCUGUUGCCCGUGAAUUGAAUGUUCAUUUCUCAACCAUAAGCCGUCUCCAAAGGCGUUUCAGAGAAUUUGGCAGUACAUCCAACCGGCCUUACAAUCACAGACCAUGAGUAACCACACCAGCCCUGGCCCUCCACAUCCAGCAUCUUCACCUCCAAGAUCGUCUAAGACCAGCCACCCAGACAGCUGCUGCAACAAUCGGUUUGCAUAACCAAAGAAUUUCUGCACAAACUGUCAGAAACCGUCUCAGGGAAGCUCAUCUGCAUGCUCGUCGUCCUCAUCGGGGUCUCGACCUGACUGCAGUUUGUCGUCGUAACCGACUUGAGUGAGCACAUGCUCACAUUCGAUGGCAUCUGGCACUCUGGAGAGGUGUUCUCUUCACGGAUGAAUCCCGGUUUUCACUGUAAAGAGCAGAUGGCAGAGAGCAUGUAUGGCGUUGUGUGGGUGAGAGGUUUGCUGAUCCCAUUGUUGUGCCAUUGAUCCAUGACCAUCACCUCAUGUUGCAGCAUGAUAAUGCACGACCCCAUGUUGCAAGGAUCUGUUCACAAUUCCUUGAAGCUGAAAACAUCCCAGUUCUUGCAUACCCAGCAUACUCACCGGACAUGUCACCCAUUGAGCAUGUUUGGGAUGCUCUGGAUCGGCAUAUGCGACAGCAUGUUCCAGUUCCUACCAAUAUCCAGCAGCUUUGCACAGCCAUUGAAGAGGAGUGGACCAACAAUCCUAUUUGAAGGAGAUGUGUUGCACUGCUUGAGGCGAAUGGUGGUCACACCAGAUACUGACUGGUUUUCGGACCCCACCCUCCCCAGACCCCCCAAUACAGUAAAACUGCACAUUUUAGAGUGGCCUUUUAUUGUGGCCAGCAUAAGGCACACCUGAGCAAUAAUCAUGCUAUCUAUUCAGCAUCUUGAUAUGCCACACCUAUGAGGUGGAUGGAUUAUCUCGGCAAAGGAGAAGUGCUCAUUAACACAGAUUUAGACAGAUUUGUGAACAAAAUUUGAGAGAAAUAGGCCUUUUGUGUACAUAGAAAUAGUCUUAGAUCUUUGAGUUCAGCUCAUGAGAAAUGGGGGAAAAAACAAAAGUGUUGCGUUUAUUAUUUUGUUCAGUGUACAACAGCCAGGAUUAAAAGUUCACAAGAUCUGGCUCUUUUUUUUUUUUUUGCCGGGAAGCAAUGGUGCAUUCCAAACAGGAUAUAUCACCCUCCGAAGGGCACUUCAGAGUGAAAACAAUCAUGGCCACCAUAUUGAAGGAUCGUGCUCAAAACUGGCCACUUCAAAGGGCCCUUCGGAAUGAAGGCUUUCGAAGGGUACAACUGAUGGACACUUCGGGUUCCCAUGAUCCUUUGCUCAGAUUCUUUGCAUGAUGACGGGGCCCCUGUUGGGGCACAUGAUUAUGAUGCAGAAGGGCAUUUCAAGAAACAGUUGUUUGGUCCCCUACACCCUUCAACCCUUCGAAGCUCUCACUCUGAAGGGUAAACCCUUUGAAGGGAUUAGGGCAUAGGGAUGAGCCCUUCUGAAUGGAACGGAGGGCAAAUAUAUCAAACAGCAGACGGUAAGAGCAUCUACAGUAAUUCACGUUGACCAAAACACACAAGAAAACGUGUUGUGAAAAAAAAUAUAUAUAUAUAUCACUGGCAAUCACAGACAUUUGCAAUUGGACGGGAUUAGUUUUCUCAUAGGAUGUUUGCUGAAAAACAGUAGGUAGGCCUAAUUUGCUAUGGAAUUAUUACAGAGGUUGUGUGAGAAUAACACCGACGGGGCAGUUUCAGACGGGAUUAAAAUCACCAAGUGUGUCUGUAAAACACAAAUUUCUCUAACAACCCUGUCCGGUACGACCCCCUGUCAAACUAGUCCCAUCCGAAUAGGGCUUAUUAUGCAGAUUGGGUGCUAGAGAAACAUUUCUUAGUAUUGUCAAUGCUGAAAACAGUUGUGCUGCUUUGUAUCUUUAUGGAAACUGUAAUAAAUUUUUCAGGAUUUUUUAAUGAAUAGAAAAUUCAAAAUCACAGUAUUUUCUUUAGAAUGAUUUUUGAAGGAUCAUGUGACACUGAAGAAUGAGAUGAAAUCAGGUCCUCGGUUCAUCUACCAACCAAAGAAACGUGAAAAAGAUUAACCCAGUAACUUUGUUUUGGUAAACCUUUUUCUGCAAGCGUCUGAGAAAACAAGCACGUCUGAUUUCACUCCCUUGGUGACAUGGCAAAGGGAUCUCAUUAUAAUAUUACCGCCCCUUAAUCUUUCCACCCACAGUGCCGUGAUUUUGAU